rnacentral:tRNA from 1 species
GCAGAGAUGGUAGAGUGGUCGAUUGCGGCGGUCUUGAAAACCGUUGAAACGAAAGUUUCCGGGGGUUCAAAUCCCUCUCUCUGCGCCA